rnacentral:rRNA from 1 species
GUGGGGAAUUUUGGACAAUGGGCGCAAGCCUGAUCCAGCCAUGCCGCGUGCAGGAUGAAGGCCUUCGGGUUGUAAACUGCUUUUGUACGGAACGAAAAGACUCCUUCUAAUAAAGGGGGUCCAUGACGGUACCGUAAGAAUAAGCACCGGCUAACUACGUGCCAGCAGCCGCGGUAAUACGUAGGGUGCAAGCGUUAAUCGGAAUUACUGGGCGUAAAGCGUGCGCAGGCGGUUAUAUAAGACAGAUGUGAAAUCCCCGGGCUCAACCUGGGAACUGCAUUUGUGACUGUAUAGCUAGAGUACGGUAGAGGGGGAUGGAAUUCCGCGUGUAGCAGUGAAAUGCGUAGAUAUGCGGAGGAACACCGAUGGCGAAGGCAAUCCCCUGGACCUGUACUGACGCUCAUGCACGAAAGCGUGGGGAGCAAACAGGAUUAGAAACCCGGGUAGUCC